GAUGCAUUGUGGGAUUGUAAGCUUGUGAUUGGUCAAUGUCCACUAUGUUUCCCAGUGUUCCAUCUACUCCCCUAGGGGAGUAUCCACCAGGUGGGAGACCUGCAUAAAAGCCAGGCAGGUAGCCCCAGUAAAUCAGUUCUACUUCACCCUCAAUCUGCGUCCUGUCUAUUAUUGGGGGAAUCUGCUACAAGGGAUUGCUAUGCUCUGCAUAUUCCCUAGCUAUAAUCACUGAG